rnacentral:antisense_RNA from 1 species
AAUGCAGGUCGUCGGGCCGGGUGUCGCGGC